CGAGCGUUAUUCGGAAUUAUUGGGCGUAAAGGGCGCGUAGGCGGCUUUUCAAGUGACGGGUGAAAUCCCUCGGCUUAACCGAGGAACUGCCUGUCAGACUGGAAGGCUUGAGACCGGGAGAGGUGAGUGGAAUUCCCAGUGUAGCGGUGAAAUGCGUAGAUAUUGGGAGGAACACCAGUGGCGAAGGCGGCUCACUGGACCGGAACUGACGCUGAGGCGCGAAAGCGUGGGGAGCAAACAGG
rnacentral:rRNA from 1 species